GCCGAGAUAGCUCAGUAGGUAGAGCAGAGGCCUGAAAAGCCUUGUGUCGGGUGUUCGAUUCACCCUCUCGGCA
rnacentral:tRNA from 1 species